AGUGAACGCUGGCGGCAGGCCUAACACAUGCAAGUCGAGCGGCAGCGCGGGGGCAACCCUGGCGGCGAGCGGCGGACGGGUGAGGAAUUCGUCGGAAUCUGCCUUUUUGUGGGGGAUAACGUAGGGAAACUUACGCUAAUACCGCAUACGUCCUACGGGAGAAAGUGGGGGACCGCAAGGCCUCACGCAGAAAGAUGAGCCGACGACCGAUUAGCUAGUUGGUGGGGUAAAGGCCCACCAAGGCGACGAUCGGUAGCUGGUCUGAGAGGAUGAUCAGCCACACUGGGACUGAGACACGGCCCAGACUCCUACGGGAGGCAGCAGUGGGGAAUUUUGGACAAUGGGCGCAAGCCUGAUCCAGCCAUGCCGCGUGUGUGAAGAAGGCCUUCGGGUUGUAAAGCACUUUUGUCCGGAAAGAAAUCCCUGGAGCUAAUACCUUCGGGGGAUGACGGUACCGGAAGAAUAAGCACCGGCUAACUUCGUG
rnacentral:rRNA from 1 species